rnacentral:misc_RNA from 1 species
AGGAAACAGGACGCAAUCCUCUAAAGGCUUUGCAACAUUUGUAUCAGUCCCUGGCAUCUCACUUGAAAAUGAUCUCGAACGUUUCAAACACUUCUUUUCACCCGAAUUUAUUGAUUGCAUUACAGAUUAAGUCAUCCACAGUUCACACAUUGAUCCAAUCAAUCUCACAAUUCUGAAAGUGGAAAUCCUAUCGGCACUUUUUU